UACGUAGGGUGCAAGCGUUUAUCCGGAAUUAUUGGGCGUAAAGAGCUCGUAGGCGGUUUGUCACGUCUGCUGUGAAAACUGGAGGCUCAACCUCCAGCCUGCAGUGGGUACGGGCAGACUAGAGGUAGGCAGGGGAGAGCGGAACUCCUGGUGUAGCGGUGGAAUGCGCAGAUAUCAGGAAGAACACCGGUGGCGAAGGCGGGUCUCUGGGCCGAUACUGACGCUGAGGAGCGAAAGCGUGGGGAGCGAACAGG
rnacentral:rRNA from 1 species